rnacentral:misc_RNA from 1 species
GAUGAAGAACGUAGCGAAAUGCGAUAAGUAAUGUGAAUUGCAGAAUUCAGUGAAUCACCGAAUCUUUGAACGCACAUUGCGCCCUCUGGUAUUCCGGGGGGCAUGCCUGUUCGAGCGUCAUUAUAACCACUCAAGCUCUCGCUUGGUAUUGGGGUUCGCGGUUCCGCGGCCCCUAAAAUCAGUGGCGGUGCCUGUCGGCUCUACGCGUAGUAAUACUCCUCGCGAUUGAGUCCGGUAGGUCUACUUGCCAGCAACCCCCAAUUUUUACAGGUUGACCUCGGAUCAGGUAGGGAUACCCGCUGAACUUAAGCAUAUCAAUAAGCGGAGGA